rnacentral:lncRNA from 13 species
UGCUCUGUGGCUCAGGCUGGAGUUCCCUGCCACAGUCAGAGCUCAGUGCAGCACUGACUCCUAGGCUCAGCAGAUCUUCCCACUCUGCCUCCCAAGUAGCUGGGACUACAGAUAAUGGUUCUCACAGAGGCCUCUGGCUGUGAAAAGUGACAUCUCAGUGGAUUUAUCUGGAAGGUCAGAGGAGGGAAUCCGACCUCAGGAAAACAAGAAACUCGGAACUCCACUGGGGACCCCCAAUGAAGAGAUCAGCCAACAUGCAGACCUCAGGAGCAUAUUGCAGAGAAUACACUGCUUGCAAAGGAACUGAGCAAAUAAAGGGCUUGCUCUCUUUUAUCUGGCUGGAGAAGGCUUGUAGAAGCACUUCCUUCUAGCACCCAUGAGGUCAUUGCUUGGUCCUGGAGGUAAGGAGAGGGCCCAGUGAGCCCUGAACAGAAAAGUCCUCAG